CCGACGGGCCGUGACUGGCGCGCUGGGAUGGGACCGACCAUCGGGGAGCGGCCUGAAUGCGAAUGUGUGCCGUGCGCCUGGGCCGAACGU
rfam:Streptomyces avermitilis MA-4680 = NBRC 14893 DNA, complete genome.